GCCAGGGUAGCUCAGUUGGUUAGAGCACAGCACUCAUAACGCUGAGGUCGAGAGUUCGAAUCUCUCCUCUGGUACAA
rnacentral:tRNA from 1 species